rfam:Gorilla gorilla gorilla genomic chromosome, chr6, whole genome shotgun sequence
AAAAAGGCUCUUUUAAGAGCCGCCUACUUUCACCCGAAAAUAGCUGU